GGCGAUCAGAUACCGCCCUAGUUCUGACCGUAAACGAUGCCAACUAGCGAUCCGCCAGUCGACUCAUCGCUCUGGUGGGGAGCUUCCCGGAAACGAAAGUCUUCCGGUUCCGGGGGAAGUAUGGUUGCAAAGCUGAAACUUAAAGGAAUUGACGGAAGGGCACCACCAGGAGUGGAGCCUGCGGCUUAAUUUGACUCAACACGGGGAAACUCACCCGGCCCGGACACCGUAAGGAUUGACAGAUUGAUAGCUUUUUCAUGAUUCGGUGGGUGGUGGUGCAUGGCCGUUCUUAGUUCGUGGAGCGAUUUGUCUGGUUUAUUCCGAUAACGAGCGAGACUCUGGCCUACUAAAUAGUUGACGCAUUGCCACUGUGCGCACAACUUCUUAGAGGGAUUUUCGGUGUUUUCAACCGCACGAAAUUGAGCAAUAACAGGUCUGUGAUGCCCUUAGAUGUCCGGGGCUGCACGCGCGCUACACUGGCAAACGCAACGUGCCUGUCCUGCCCCGAAAGGAGCGGGUAAACCCCUGAAAUUUUGCCGUGAUUGGGAUCGGACAUUGCAACUAUUGUCCGUGAACGAGGAAUUCCUUGUAGGGGCGAGUCAUCAACUCGUCCCGAAUACGUCCCUGCCCUUGUA
rnacentral:rRNA from 1 species